rnacentral:rRNA from 1 species
UAGCUAGUCGGCGGGGUAACGGCCCACCGAGGCGACGAUGCGUAGGGGUUCUGAGAGGAAGGUCCCCCACACUGGUACUGAGACACGGACCAGACUCCUACGGGAGGCAGCAGUGAGGAAUAUUGGUCAAUGGCCGAGAGGCUGAACCAGCCAAGUCGCGUGAGGGAUGACGGCCCUACGGGUUGUAAACCUCUUUUGUCGGGGAGCAAAGGGAGUCACGUGUGACUCAUUGAGAGUACCCGAAGAAAAAGCAUCGGCUAACUCCGUGCCAGCAGCCGCGGUAAUACGGAGGAUGCGAGCGUUAUCCGGAUUUAUUGGGUUUAAAGGGUGCGCAGGCGGAGGUGCAAGUCAGCGGUCAAAUUGCGGGGCUCAACCCCGUACUGCCGUUGAAACUGCAUCCCUUGAGUGCGCGAGAAGUAUGCGGAAUGCGUGGUGUAGCGGUGAAAUGCAUAGAUAUCACGCAGAACUCCGAUUGCGAAGGCAGCAUACCGGCGCGCAACUGACGCUCAUGCACGAAAGCGUGGGUAUCGAACAGGAUUAGAUACCCUGGUAGUCCACGCAGUAAACGAUGAACACUAACUGUUCGGCCAGAAUGAUGGCUGA